UUGGGUGCUGUGGAAGGGACAG
rnacentral:miRNA from 1 species